rnacentral:rRNA from 1 species
CCUACGGGUGGCUGCAGUAGGGAAUCUUCCACAAUGGGCGAAAGCCUGAUGGAGCAACGCCGCGUGGGUGAAGAAGGUCUUCUGAUCGUAAAACCCUGUUGUUAGAGAAGAAAGUGCGUGAGAGUAACUGUUCACGUUUCGCCGUUAUCUACCCAGAAAGCCCCGGCUAACUACGUGCCAGCAGCCGCGGUAAUACGUAGGUGACAAGCGUUAUCCGGAUUUGUUGGGCGUAAAGGUAACGCAGGCGGUCUUUUAAGUCGGAUGUGAAAGCCUUCGGCUUAACCGGAGUAGUGCAUUGGAAACUGGGAGACUUGAAUGCAGAAGAGGAGAGUGGAACUCCAUGUGUAGCGGUGAAAUGUGUAGAUAUAUGGAAGAACACCAGUGGCGAAAGCGGCUCUCUGGGCUGUAACUGACGCUGAGGUUCGAAAGCGUGGGUAGCAAACAGGAUUAGAUACCCGUGUAGUC